GACGAACGCUGGCGGCGUGCCUAAUACAUGCAAGUAGAACGCACAGUUUAUACCGUAGCUUGCUACACCAUAGACUGUGAGUUGCGAACGGGUGAGUAACGCGUAGGUAACCUGCCUGGUAGCGGGGGAUAACUAUUGGAAACGAUAGCUAAUACCGCAUAAUAUUGAUUAUUGCAUGAUAAUUGAUUGAAUGAUGCUAUUGCAUCACUACCAGAUGGACCUGCGUUGUAUUAGCUAGUAGGUGAGGUAACGGCUCACCUAGGCGACGAUACAUAUCCGACCUGAGAGGGUGAUCGGCCACACUGGGACUGAGACACGGCCCAGACUCCUACGGGAGGCAGCAGUAGGGAAUCUUCGGCAAUGGACGAAAGUCUGACCGAGCAACGCCGCGUGAGUGAAGAAGGUUUUCGGAUCGUAAAGCUCUGUUGUAAGAGAAGAACGGGUGUGAGAGUGGAAAGUUCACACUGUGACGGUAUCUUACCAGAAAGGGACGGCUAACUACGUG
rnacentral:rRNA from 1 species